ACAACAAUAACAUAAUACUUGAUUGAAUCAAUUAAGGAUGACUCUUAUACCACUGUUGAGAUUCGUAUUUGCAGUGGAAUAUGGGAAUUUAAUUUUUUUUUCAUGGAUUUAACAAUUGAAAGCCUUUUGAUGCAAAUCCUAGAAUCCAAAAUCAUUUUGAUGAUCACAAUCAAAUAGAUAGAGAUAGCAAAUAAAACAUCUAAGAAAAAAAGGAUAUCUCCAAGAAGAUCUUGAUUAAUCGCUGAUUGGCAGGUUUCUUGAUUUACAUUCAUAAGACUCCAAGUGUAUGUCCUCCAACAGUGAUCCACACAGAAAUGAAUCAAGGACUCUCCUUCAGGCUUUUUUUGAAUCCUUUUUCGAAGAAUCCAGCAUACCCUCUCCUUUUUCUUUUCCAAGAAUCUUUCUUGAUUUCUUUCUUCCUCUGCCAAGAACUCUUCUUGGCUUGCUUUUCUUGGGUGUCCAACCCUUGGACAUGAGGCACUAAGGUAGGAAAACCCCUUUAGUGUGUGAUGUCACAAGGAGGCAUUAUGGGAUUUAUGGCGUGAGGAUCUUGUCUAAAACCUUCAUGCAAAACCCUCUCAUGUGCGCACAAAAAUGAGGCAUUAAGCCUCUUUCACGUGAAAUCUCAAGGGGCAUGGGCC
rnacentral:lncRNA from 1 species